GCACUGAUGAGGAAUCUAACAAUAGGACGAAACGGCCGUCUAGUGC
rfam:Schistosoma mattheei strain Denwood, Zambia genome assembly, scaffold: SMTD_scaffold0006168